AUGAUCUUCAUUAUUAGAGCAUUGUCCCAUGUGAGAAAAAAAAUAAAAGAGGCCAAAGAAGCCAACAAAAAAAAGAAAAAAAAUGAGAGAAUAAGAGAGAAGGGGCAAUGUUACUAUCCUUUUUCCACACUUGUGCUUCAAAGUAGCACCAUGAUCUUCAUGAUAGAGAGUCUCCUAUGUAGUCACUUUCAUAUACUAGUGGGAAUUUUCCACUAUAGAACUUGGAUUGUAUAUUCCUGUGAUGCGCUUCCUCAAAUUGCCCUAGGUAUUCGUGAGCAAGCACGUUGGAUGCACACCCACUUAGUUUUCUUUUGA
rnacentral:rRNA from 1 species